GUGGCGAACGGGUGAGUAACACGUGAGCAACCUGCCCCCUACUUCGGGAUAAGCCUUGGAAACGAGGUCUAAUACCGGAUACGAGCACUUACCGCAUGGUGGGUGUUGGAAAGUUUUUCGGUAGGGGAUGGGCUCGCGGCCUAUCAGCUUGUUGGUGGGGUAAUGGCCUACCAAGGCGUCGACGGGUAGCCGGCCUGAGAGGGCGACCGGCCACACUGGGACUGAGACACGGCCCAGACUCCUACGGGAGGCAGCAGUGGGGAAUAUUGCACAAUGGGCGAAAGCCUGAUGCAGCGACGCCACGUGAGGGAUGACGGCCUUCGGGUUGUAAACCUCUUUCAGCAGGGAAGAAGCGAAAGUGACGGUACCUGCAGAAGAAGCGCCGGCUAACUACGUGCCAGCAGCCGCGGUAAUACGUAGGGCGCAAGCGUUGUCCGGAAUUAUUGGGCGUAAAGAGCUCGUAGGCGGUCUGUCGCGUCUGGUGUGAAAUCCCAUGGCUCAACUGUGGGCUUGCAUCGGGUACGGGCAGACUAGAGUGCUGUAGGGGAGACUGGAAUUCCUGGUGUAGCGGUGGAAUGCGCAGAUAUCAGGAGGAACACCGAUGGCGAAGGCAGGUCUCUGGGCAGUUACUGACGCUGAGGAGCGAAAGCAUGGGGAGCGAACAGGAUUAGAUACCCUG
rnacentral:rRNA from 1 species